ACUGCCUGCCCAGUGACAUUAGUUUAACGGCCGCGGUAUCCUGACCGUGCAAAGGUAGCAUAAUCAUUUGUUCCUUAAUUAGGGACUUGUAUGAAUGGCCCCACGAGGGUUUAACUGUCUCUUACUUUUAAUCAGUGAAAUUGACCUUCCCGUGAAGAGGCGGGAAUACAAAAAUAAGACGAGAAGACCCUAUGGAGCUUAAAUUAUAUUGUUCAAUAAAAUUCAAACUCUACCCGACAGAAAUAAUUUUAAUUUAACUGAACAACUAAUUUUGGUUGGGGUGACCUCGGAGUAUAACAAAACCUCCGAGCGAUUUUAACUAAGACUUACCCGUCUAAGUCACAUAACUCAUUGAUCCAAUCAUAUUGAUCAACGAAACAAGUUACCCUAGGGAUAACAGCGCAAUCCUAUUUGAGAGUUCAUAUCGACAAUAGGGUUUACGACCUCGAUGUUGGAUCAGGACACCCAAAUGGUGCAGCAGCUAUUAAAGGUUCG
rnacentral:rRNA from 1 species